rnacentral:rRNA from 1 species
UACGUAGGGUGCGAGCGUUGUCCGGAAUUAUUGGGCGUAAAGGGCUCGUAGGCGGUUUGUCGCGUCGGGAGUGAAAUCCACUGGCUUAACUGGUGGCUUGCUUUCGAUACGGGCAGACUGGAGGUAUGCAGGGGAGAACGGAAUUCCUGGUGUAGCGGUGAAAUGCGCAGAUAUCAGGAGGAACACCGAUGGCGAAGGCAGGUCUCUGGGCCACUACUGACGCUGAGAGCGAAAGCAUGGGGAGCGAACAGG